rnacentral:lncRNA from 1 species
UCCGAAUUUUUGGAUAGCAUUAUGAUAUUUAAAAUGCAUUACAGUUGAGUCUGAUUAUUAUUAAGCUUGAGCUGGAGUGUCUAUGUGAUGAUUAAGUAAAUGCUUAGUAGGAGUUGUCUGUAUAUGAGCCAAAUAGACCAUCAAGCUCAGCAAACCUAUUUCGUUAGAAGCAAAAAAGAAUUCAUCUAUAAAAACCCAUCUUAGUCUUCAGAGUUCUGAUUUGAGAAAUUAAGUGUCCUGUUCUCCAUAUCAAAUUUCAUAGCCAAAUCUCUCUAAAUCAUGAUCUAAUAGCUGAGUUGGAGCUGGAGAUCUAAGAGGAAGAAAUUAAGUAUAAAGGCAAGGAAUUUCAGCUAUAGUAAGAGGUAUUAUUAUCAUUUUGAUAAAUUUUACAGUGGUUGAGUUUUAUGUGAAGGAAUUGUGAUAAUUGGUGACUGUAAUUUGAUAAUAUAAUUGUGAGAGAUUUCUAAAAAGAAAUCUGGGAUUAGAUAUGAUAAUCAAGCUGUGAAAUUUAAAAAAUUUCAUUAUGUAUGCUAAUUGUUUGUAAGACACAAAUGAAAAGUCUAUGUUAUCAAUUUGAUAAUUUGAGAAAUACAGUGUUUGUUGAUAGUAACUGAUUGUGUAAAAUCAAAAGGUAGUCUGAAGUUAGCUAUCUGAAAUGUUGUUCUUGUUUUAAAAGGCAUGCUAAAAGAAUGAGAUAAAUCAACUUUUGGUACCUGUACUGGGACACGACUUACAAUUUGGUACCUGAAGUAAAAAAAGUUACAAACUGGUGAUUGUACUCGAAAAAUGUUACACUCCGUUAAACAUUAGGGACACGACUUACAAUUUGGUACCCGAAGUGAAAAAAGUUACAAACUGGUGAUUGUACUCGAAAAAUGUUAUACUCCAUUAAACAGUAGGGUUUCAUCUUUAUUCUGUUUGAAAAUUAGGGUUCUGAUCUUCUGUCAUUCUUCUUCUGUCAUUCUUCUUGUCUCGAUUCUCCAUUGAUUACUAAUUCUCAUAUAUUUAUUAAAGGGUUUUCAGUGUUUAAUUGAAAGGAUGAGCUCGUCUUGAAGUGGAAUCGUAAAUGAAAUCGGGGAAGAAGAUUGUAGUUCAUGCAACAAAAAUGAAUGGAUUACACCAGAGUUCCCAAGUCGAUGCCACUGUGGAGCAAUGGUGCGAAUGUGGGAGGCAAGAAAAGAUGGAACAAAACAUCGAGGAUCUUCUUCGCGUCGACUUCGCUUCUCUCUCUGUAUGUUUGUCUCUCCCGUUGGAUCAAUUUAAACGAUUAUUUAAAAAUUGGAAAGUGCAAGCACCAGAUUACAAAAAAAAUUUAGUACAAUUACCAAUUUGUAACUUUUUUCACUUCGGGUACCAAAUUGUAAGUCGUGUCCCAAUACAAGUACUAAAAGUUGAUUUAUCCCCUAAAAGAAUACAAAUAACCAUUUUUUUAAGUUCUGUAGAACAGAGAUCUGUUCUGGGCUGAAGUCAAAGUGGCGCAGCUGCGCUACUUCCUUAGUAAAACUCUGCGCAACUGUGCAGCUUGCCAGUCUUUGAAAAAUGUUUUGUUUCUGUGUUCUGCAACCCUGAUCAUAUGCAUUUGGACCCUACGUGAUUCUAUAAAUGGUGAACAAACCCUAAUAAUCUUGUAUAAAAUAUGUGGUUUUAACUUGGUAUAAUAAAACUUUCAAAAAGAAAACUAAUUGAAACUUUGAGAAGAAAGUAAAUGUAUCUAACUGACUGAAAUGAGAAUAUGUAUUCAUUCUGGAUUAGGAAAUCUUUGUAUGUUUCAGUUGGAAUUCAAGAGGGUUAAGAAGAUAUUGCAUUUGCUAAACAAAAGAUUUUCAAAGUAAAACUUUGUGGUUUUGGGAAACCAAGCUUGAUUCAUGUAGAAUAAGACAAAUCAUUGUUGUGUUACAUGAUAUGUAUAGGAGUAAUGGUUUGUGUAAACUGAAACUGCACAUUAGGAAUCUCAGUUCUGGUUUAGCCAGGGAGCAAGCGCAGUUGCGCCACUCCCAAAGCCAAACAUGGCGCAGCUGCACCAAAAGCCAAACAUGGCGCAGCUGCACGAAACUGUAGUCCAGUCAAGACAUUCCUUUAGUAAUUUGAAGCUAAAAACGUGUAUGUAAAUACAAUCUAAGAUGUAAAAUCAGCAUUUAUAUGAGUCUAAUAUAUUCAAGCAUGCAAUGAACUAUUUGGGGAAGGAUUUCAAAGGAAGCUUGUAAAAGUUUUCAAAACGAAAGUAUAUAGUUUACGAAACUAGAAACAAGAAAGUAUACUAUUGCAACUACGUGUUGUAUGAAUGGCAAAUGAGAACUGGGUGUUCUUUACGACUGAGUAUGAUUAUUUGUUCUAUGUGACAACGUGUAAUUAAAUGUGGAAUGGAAUAUAUAGUUGAUAUAAAGUUAUAUAUGAUAUGGAUAAUGUAGGAUACAUGAAAAGAGGAUAAGCUAAGUUAAGAUUUAAACGUAGCCUACAAAAAAGGCAAGUAUCCUAAUCCUUUGCAAUUAUUUUAUGCAAAUCUUUUGAAAAGCAAAUGUUUCAAAGUUAUGUUACUUAUUGAGAAGCGGUUUAUUGAUAAAAUGUAUACUGGUUGAAUUGCAGUAUUCAUGAACAGUUUAAAAAUAGUCUAAGCCUUUUGUUUCGACUAGACGCAGAUUAAAUAUUUUAAUUUUUUUCAUGUGAAGUCUUGAAAUAUAGGGUUAAGUUCAUAUGACCACCUGGAGUUUGGGCGGUUUCGCACUUAACCACCUGUAGUCAGUAAAGCUACAUUUAAACACCUGACUUUUUGAGGUGAAGUGAAAACGUCACUUUUUCCAUCUAACUUAACUGUGAGUUGGCUAAUGACUUAUCUACCCUCCAAUUUCACAAACAGAGCACUCUCACUAUAUACUCCCUGCCCAUCCGUUCCAAACAUGAAAGAAAAAGGAGUGGAAGGAACAGUCCCUGCUCCUUUAUAUUCCUUGCCAGCUUCCAUUUCGUUCCAAAGAGAGAAAGAAAAAAGAACCAGCCCCUGCUCCGGUGCUCCCUUUCAUUCGACCCAAAGAAAAAAAAAGAAAAGAAAAAAAAAGAGGCUCUCUCAUCUCCUCUAUUCCAAAUUCAAUUCAAGCAUACCAUAAGAAAAAUACAGUUAACAAUUGAAUUGGGGGAAAUUUAGAAAGCAAUUGCAGCAAGAAAAAGGAUUGGCAGACUUCCAUCCAGAUGAUUCAUCCAACUGGGCCAUCAUAUAAAGCACAACCAAUCACCACGUUAAACUUCAAUGCACUUCAAAAUUUAGAGAAAAAAGUGACGAGAAUAGUAAUUAUGUAUAUGUAUACAUGAUUUCUAUAAUACCAUUAAAGAUUACUAGUUUAAGUUAUUAUGAGCCAAGUAAAAUGGCAGAGCAGGGGCUGACAUUAAAAUAGGAACUCCUUGAAAUAUUUUGGUGAACUACACAGGAACAUCAGUGCGAGAACUCGUGCCCUGGUGCAGGCUCAGUGCGAGAAAUCUUUGUUCAAAUGUUUUAUGAUUAUUUCAGCUGUAGUGCUAUGUUUAAGCACAUAUCUAUUAAUAUCUAGAUUUUCCCACACAACAAGAAUUUCAACAAUACCCAUCUCCAGAGCUUUCAAUGUGUCGUCCCCACCAACAUCAAUUCCAUAAUUAAACAUAUAAUCACCGCCAAUUUCAACAAUGAAACAAUCAAUGGCGCUUUAAUUGCUAUUUCUAGCUUGAAACAGAGCACAAGUCAAAAAACAGGGAAGCUAAAUAGCACCCACUAAAUCUGAUUUCACACUCUGUUCCUUUUUGGGUAUCUACAGAUUUGAGCAAAGCAUUUCAACUUAUUCUCAUAUGGGUAAGUUCAGAUCUCUGUUUUUGAAGGUCCCUUCUCUUACGAUAUGUGCCAAAUACCCUAUCCCUUCUAAUUUUUUCCCUCUCUUUUCUUCCCCAGUAACAUCUUCCCCCAAAUCCCCACAUCUCUUUCCCUUUCUCGUUUUCCAAAAAAAAAAAUCACAACCCAAUUUUCGCAACCUCCGAUUAAUUGUAAAAAUCCAAACUUCCGCCCAAAUUCCAACAGAAAUCGCAGAUAUAACUAGUACUAAUUAAAUAGGAAAACAUUAUAGUUAAAAAUUAAGUUUGUACAAGUACACCCAAUUCAACAAAAUAAAAUAUUCGUACAAAAAAUCUAAAAAUCAGCGAAACAAACACAAAAUUCAUGAUCUAACUCAACAAAAUCAAAAGGGGUAUCCUGAAACCCAAGGGUAUAUAGAUGUGUAUAUAUAAAUAUAUAUAUACGCACACAAAAUACAGAAACAGAGACAGAGGAUUUACCUUCAAGUUCCCAAGGCUCAGAUUUGUAAACAUCGAUUUCAGAAACAGCUUGAAAUCUAAAGGGCUUCCCACAAGCCUUACGCGUCAAAUAAUACCAAACAUGUUCCUCAUCUGUUCGUCUCUCUCUCUCUCUCUCGUACAGAAUGAGGAAGAAGAGGGUCUUUUAGACAUUUACUAUCUUUUUUUGAUCGUUAUAACCCUUCUCACGCGCUUUUUGGCGUCUGACAUACACGCACAGUUAAAUUGGAUGAAAAAAGUGACGUUUUCACUUUAACUCAAAAAAUCGGGUGUUUAAAUGUAGCUUUACUGACUACAGGUGGUUAAGUGAGAAAUCGCCCAAACCCCAGGCGGUCAUCUGAACUUAACCCUGAAAUAUAUUUGUGAUAUGAUUUAAAUUGUCCAGCUAUUUGAAUAUAGUUUGGAUUCCAGUCUGACAAUGAACGGGAAAUUUUAUAAUACGCUCUGGGAGCGAUGACAGUGAACACAAAUGUUGUUCGGAAGAAGAUAAUAUUGAUCCAUACAAGGCAUAAAGGGUUGAUGUGCCCGUAAGACCAGACAGUUCACAGAUAAAUUUCGGAUAGAAGCUUUUUAAGAAAUGAAAAAAAAUGUUCAUGGAUUAUGACUUCUCAGCUAUUCAAAUGUUGAUAUGUUGUUACAAGAACAUGAAUGAUUCAAGAUUUAUUCUAAAUUGCUUUACAGUUUAAUUUCACUGUAAGGGUAUGUUUCAAAGAAAAUAUUUAUUUAUUGUCACGAUAUUUGUGCAUGAUAUUACUUGCUGAGCAAUUGAAUGUUCAUUCUUGCUUUGUUAUAAAUGUUUUCAGUUAACCAAGAUCGUAUAGAAAGAUCGGGUAAGGAUAAGGGAAAGGAAAAGUUGUGGAAUAAUUGAAAUGUUAUAUAAUAGAUAGUUUUUAUGUUGUAAAUAUUUAAUUAUCAUGUAAUAAACACUUAAAGGUCAUCGUACCUGGGAUAGUAAGACUAUAUAAUAACUGGUAUCAUAUGAUGUUGAAUGUUAGUUAACGUGGAGCACUGAAUACAGGUUUCAAGUCCCGAAUUUGGGGGCGUCACAGUUUUUACUAUCGCUAUACAUCUAUAGCGACACUUUUCAUGUGAAAAUAUCAAAAAGUCAUAAGAAAAUAUUAAUUUCCAUAAUUUAUUGCAACCUAGAACAUUCGCCAGAAGAAAUUUCUUGCAGCUCUAAAAGGACUACCAAACCAACUAUUACCCUCAUUUUGCUUCUUUAUAUGGUAAUAGAUUUUAAUCAACUAGAUAAAGAACCAGUUAAAUCUUAAAAGUCUAUGUGCCUGCUUUUAAAACGUCAAGCAAAAAUAAAUGGAGGGAGUGCCACUUUCACUCUCUUUCAUAUCCAUUAUCCAUAAUGGGAUCAAAGAUAUAGCUUAUCCCUUUGGGAAUAUAUGAGAGACUUGAAUGGCGAUUUCGCAAAUGAUAUUGAAUGGGAUAAUUUAAAUAGGUACGCUCAUGGUCAAGAAAAAUACAAGAUUACAAAACUUUCCUAGCACAUUCAUUUUCUAUACAGAUGCAUACAUUUACAAGAGAUAUUAUGGUAAAUAUUGUUGGAGACAUUGUUUUAAAUGUUGAAGCGUAACAGGCUUUGACACAAAGGAGUCCAUACCGUUUGCGUAGCACUCAUCUGCACUCUCUGACAAAGAGUUUGCUGUCAUCUGCAUUCAUACCAACUAGCUUUGUUAGCCUUGGUAUUACUAGUUUACAAGUAAUACUAGUAAAGGAUUCUUAAUUACUCGUAUUUUAGGAGUAGUAACAAUGCAUAAAUUGGUAAUCAUUCCCGAUCAUAACUAAAUGAGUGGUGAUUGGAUAAUUAAGGCCUAUGUUACACGAACUCUUCACUUUUUCUUAAAGUAAAUAAGGGAAUACUGUAAAAAUUGGCAAAAUUAAAGAGUACCCGCGUCGGACUCUUCAAAAUACCACUCCAUCUGAGUCCGUGUAACAUAGAUAAAGGCCUAGUCAACAAAGUAUUAAAUUUCUCUGUAAAAUUAUUCAACAGCUGAACUGUUAAAAGAAAUGGAAUAGGAGUUUGAUUAAUAUCUAACGCAACUAAUACUCCAAAUAUUGGAUAUCUAAGAAGAUGAAUAAAAACCAGAUAUUUAAUUCCUUAGCUUUAGCGUUCAAAUAUCCUAUUCCAUUUUAAGAUAUCAAAUAUUUGAUUUGCCAUUUCAUUUUCAAAAGUAAGAAACAUCCUUAACUUUGUGAAUUGUGAUUUAGUGCAUUAUAAAAGUCUAGUUCAUAUUUCUCUAAAACCCUAACAGUCCAAGUCUUGGAAACUUGAAUCAUAUUGCUUUGACUUUGUAUCAUCUUUUCGUUAUAUAUAAGAAAUAUGAAUGAUUAUAUUGUCAAGGUAACCAACCCAAUGAACAACUACGAGCAUUAAUGACACCAGACUGGAAAUAACAAAAGCAAAGUGAAUGAAAGAAACAUAAUAUCUUGAAAAGCUAUUGUAUGCACCAAUUCUAGGGAUCCGGAUUCCAUGAAUUUGUGACAUUCCUUAACCACUAUGAACUUUUAUAGCUUUUUGUUGCAUUAGUUAUAGCACAUGGUGCAUUUGUGAUGGCCCACAAACAAGUCGCUAGAGUUAAAAUGCAACAUUUGCUAAAUGCAGCAAAAAUUUACAAACUUCAGUGGUCAAGGAUGUGGCAACUUCAGGGAAUCCAAAUCCCAAUUCCAGCGGUAAUAAAAGUUCAAGUACUUACUGCAAUUAUAGGAAUUCGCUUUCUGGGCAGUUCAUAGUCUUCGCCAAUUUGUAAUGAAUUUGAAGGAGAAACAUGACACUUCACCCCAGCCCUAGAUGCUGCUUCCCAGUUGCCAGUUUCCUCAAAAGAACGGAUUAGUCUUGUGGCCUGAAGGCCAUCCAUAACCGGCAUGAAUACAUCCUGCAGUAUUUACACAAUUAGAACCAACCUGUAAGGUGGCUAAGUUGGUUAGACGGGUCAAUAAUGUCUUUUAUUUUUAUUAAUUAAGGGUAAGGUAGUAUUUUCCAUUUCUCUUCAUUUUUUCAGUGUGUUACUCCAGUAGCAGUCUGUUAGCAGUCACAUGGCUGAGCUUGAGCAAAUCUAGGAACUUGUGAAUUGGAGUAUAUGUACUGAGCUCAUGGUGUGAAGUGGGUAUGAAUGAAAUAUGAAAUUGUUCCUUUCUAAACUCUUUGUUUCCGUCUGAUCCUUCCUCCAUUUCUACUCCCUCCUUCUGAUUCUAUCUAGCUCUUUCCUUAUUCCUUGUGAAUUGUUGUUGUUGCUUGCUUAAGUAACAACUGAACUUAUCAGCUUGUUACAAUAGGUAUCAAAGCCACUAACGUUUCCAACCAUGGCCAAUAACACACACAGAAUCACUAAUUUGGAAGGUUUUGUCAGUGAACAGGCUGACUCUAUCCAGAGGCUGCUGACCCAAUUGAAUGAUUUUGUCAGCAGUUUGAAGUUGGAUUUCGAGGAGAGGUUGAAUCAGAAGAUGGAGCAAAUGAUGAAGGGUUUUGAAGCUUUGCUCUCAGUUAGGCUACCUCCUCCUCCAAAUAACACAGGUAAUUCACAAACUCAUGCUGGUUCAGUUCUAGGGACUUUUGAAAAUCUAAAUCAUGAUGACAAGGGUACCCCUAGCAUAUUCAAAUCAAUUAAGUUUGAAUUUCCCAGAUUUAAUGGUAGUAAUCUCAGGUCAUGGAUCCGAAAAUGCAAUAAACUGUUUCCUCACCAUUUAAUGGCUGAUAAUCACAAACUUUACUUGGCCACCAUGAAUUUGGAAGGGGAGGCUGAAGAAUGGUAUGUUGGGUUUGUGCAAGGGGGUCCAGAUUUGACUUGGGAUGGGUUUGUGGAAGAGAUUGUUGCUAGGUUCAGUCCAGAGAACCAGAUGAACCCUAUAGGGGAACUAAAAAAUGUGCAGCAGUUGGGGACUGUGGAUGAGUAUAGGAAGAAGUUUGAAGAAUUAAAGGGUUGGUCCUUGAUUAGGAACCCCUCUUUGAAUGAAGCUUUUUUUAUGGACUGUUUCUUGGGGGACUUAAAGAGGAAAUAAGGUUGGGCAUUCAAGAGUUGGAAGUUGCAAUCCCUCAAAGAGGUGAUUAGAAUGGCUAGAGUUGAAGAAGCAAAGCUAGAAGCAUGGGUUAAAAGGAGCAGAAUGGGAUUUAAAAUGAGGAUGUCUGGUAGCCAACAGAAACCCAGUUUUGUGUUGGGAAAUAAACCAGUAGGAGCUGGUAUACCUGGAGUGACUAAUACUGCUUUGCAUAAUAUAGAGUUUGGGAAGAAUUUGCCUAUCAAAUGACUAACUAGGGAACAAAUUGCAGAAAAGAGGAGGAAGAAAUUGUGCUAUUCUUAUGAUGAGCCUUACAUUGUGGGUCACAAAAUGCAAGAAACCACACCUAUUUUUGAUGCUACCUUCUCAAGUGGACUGUGACACUGAAGAAGGGGGAGAGUGCUGUGAAGAGGAGAAACCUCCAGAUGACAAUGAAUGUAAGAUCCAUGAGGCUCACAUUAUAUUACAUUGUCUGGACACAAGGUAAAUAACACCAUCCGGAUUGUGGGAUUGACAAAUGAAAAAUGUUUAAGGAUAUUGAUUGACAGUGGUAGUACAAACAUUUUUUUAGAUCCCCAAGCUGCUAAGAGAAUCAGGGCUCCUACCCAAGACACUAAACCUAUGACGGUCUCGGUAGCAGAUGGGUUUAAGGUGGACAGUAUGCAGGAAUGCACCCAGUUGUUAUGGUCAGCCCAAGGGGAGUCCUUUGUUACUGAUUUCAGGAUCUUGCCCUUAGGUGGAAUAGAUGUUGUCCUGGGGGUGCAAUGGCUCAAGCACUUCAAUCCAGUUACUUUUGACUUUGAUCAUCUCCAAUUGUCAUUCACCAAGGAUAAUAAGGAAGUUGUGCUCAGAGGUGAAUCAGAUUCAACUACUCCCACCAUUCAGCUAAUGUCUUCUGGGGAGUUCCAACAAGCUUUGAAUACAGCCACACAUAGUUAUUUUGGUUACCUCUUUGGGAUGAGCUCCAAUAAUCCAAAUAAUGAAGACCAGCCUACUAGCAAAAGGGCAGCCACAAGUGAUGGGGAAAAUAGGGAUAGCUCCCAACUGGACUCCUUGUUGCAGAGUUUUUCUGAGGUAUUCAAGGAGUUACAAGGGCUGCCACCAGAUAGAACUCAUAAUCACCAUAUCAAUCUAAAAGAGGGUAGCCAACCAAUUAACCUUCGACCAUAUAGAUAUCCUCAUGUGCAGAAGGAAGAGAUUGAGAAGAUUGUAAAUGAAAUGUUUGUUUCUGGAAUAAUUCAGCCAAGUACAAGUCCUUAUGCAUUUCCAGUACUAUUAGUAAAGAAGCAGGAUGGAACAUGGAGAAUGUGUGUAGAUUACAGAUCUUUGAAUGAGAUGACAGUUAAAGAUAAGUUCCCCAUUCCUGCUAUUGAUGAGCUCUUAGAUGAAUUGCAUGGCUCUAAAUGGUACUCCAAGUUGGACCUCAGGUCAGGUUAUUACCAAAUUAAGGUACACCCCCCAGAUAUUCCUAAAACUGCCUUUAGAACACACACUGGGCAUUUUGAAUUCCUAGUGAUGCCUUUUGGGCUCACUAAUGCCCCAACCACUUUUCAAUCCUUAAUGAAUCAAAUCUUUAAGCCCUAUUUGAGGAAGUUUAUCCUAGUCUUCUUUGAUGACAUCCUAGUGUAUAGUUCCAGCUAUGAGGAACACCUUAAAUAUCUGCAAAUGACUCUACAGCUGCUUAAGGACAACUCUUUAUGUGCAAAAAGGAGCAAGUGCCUAUUUGGUACAAAACAGGUCCAAUACCUUGGACACAUUAUCACCCAGAAGGGAGUCUCCACUGACCCUGAGAAGAUCAGUUGUAUGAAAGAAUGGCCAAUGCCUCAGAACAUUAAGAGUUUGAGGGGCUUCUUAGGCCUAACUAGCUACUACAGAAGGUUCAUUAAGAACUAUGGUCUUAUUAGCAAACCUUUGACUGAUUUACUAAAAAAAAAAUCCCAUUGGAAUGAGGGUGCUACUGCUGCUUUUUUAGCUUUGAAGGAUGCUAUGGUGGAAGCACCAGUCCUAGCUAUGCCCCAAUUUCAAUUUACCAUUUACUUUAGAAACUGAUGCUUCUUAUUAUGGGUUGGGAGCAAUUUUGAUGCAACAAGGUAGGCAUAUUGCUUACUUAAGCAAGGUUAUAUCACCUAAACAUUUGGGAUGGUCCACAUAUGAGAAGGAAUUAAUGGAUGUGGUUUAUGCUGUCAAUAAAUGGAGGCACUACUUAUUGGGAAAUAAAGUGUUAAUUAAAACCGAUCAUCAUAAUCUUAAGUAUUUGCUUGAUCAAAGGAUCACCACCACUAACCAACAAAAGUGGAUUACCAAAUUGAUGGGUUUAGAUUAUGAAAUUGUGUAUAAAAAGGGGAAAGAAAAUUCAGCAGUAGACUGCCUAUCAAGACAGAUACCUGGUCCUGGUCCUGGCCCUGAACUAAGCUGUUCAACACUAUCUACUUGUACUCCUCAGUGGAUAAUAGAAAUUGUGCACUCGUGGGAAUCUGACCAAGGGCUUAAGGAUCUUAUACUGCAGCUCCAGUUAGAUCCUCAGUCCAGGGUACUGCUUUCAGAAUAGAAGAUUAAAGUUUCAAGGGAAGUUAGUAGUUGGUCCAAAUGAUGCAUUAAAGGCUAAGCUCCUAUCUGAAUUCCAUGAAUCUCCUAUUGGGGGUCACUCGGGUAUCACAGGUACAUAUGAAAGGAUAAAUAAAUACUUUUUCUGGUCUAAUAUGAGGAGUGAUGUUACUCAAUUUGUUAAAAGUUGUGAUGUGUGCCAACAAAACAAGCAUGAAAAUGAAGCUUCCCCAGGUUUACUGCAGCCCUUGCCUAUUCCAGACAAACCAUGGGAUGAUAUAUCCAUGGAUUUUAUUGAAGGUCUGCCAAAAUCUAAAGGGCAAUCAGUCAUAUGGGUAGUGGUUGAUAGACUAACCAAAUAUGGACACUUCAUUCCUCUCCAUCAUCUUUUUUCUGCUGCAGAUUUGGCCCAAGUAUACAUUGAUCAGAUUUACAAAUUACAUGGAUUCCCUUCAACUAUUAUGUCUGGUAGAGAUAAAAUUUUCAUCAGUCUGUUUUGGUGACGAAUAACCAACCCGCAAUGAAUAGGGAAGGUAUAGUAAUGCUAUGAAUGACCCAGUAACGAAUACUGGUAAUAAUAAGCAACAGAACGUUCUCCUGUGUUUCCAAACAUGCUGAGCUCCACAUAUUCUUGUACAGUCAAAAGGGGAUCGAUUCCGUAAAAGAUGAGAUCAGUAAAUGGAAAUUUACUCCACUUUUGUCAUAUAUUCCAUACAUCACACUAGAUAGAUAUCAUAUUCAUGGAAUAUGAUUCACUUUCAAGAUGCCUUAGUGGUGAAAUGGUAGACACGCGAGACUCAAAAUCCCGUGCUAAAGAUCGUGGAGGUUCGAGUCCUCUUCAAGGGAUAAUAUUGAGAAUGCUCAUUGAAUGGGCAAUUCCAUAAGAGAGCUCGGAUCGUUGGCAAUCUCUGUUUAAACUAGUAGGAACUAAACUUCAUUUAAGCACCUCAUACCACCCCCAAACUGAUGGCCAGACUGAGAGGCUUAAUCAGGUGCUAGAAUGUUAUCUAAGGUGCAUGACUGCUAACAGGCCUAAUAAUUGGUCUACUUGGUUACCACUAGCUAAGUUUUGGUACAAUUCUCACUACCACAGUGGGCUUAAGGUGACCCCUUUCGAAGCAUUAUAUGGCUACAAGCCUCCUCAUCUCAACUUCCAUCAAUACGGCCAAAUUAAGGAUCUUACUACCAAGUCAUUUUGCAGGGAAAGAACUCAACAAUUACAGCUAUUAAAGCAAAAUCUAAUAUCAGCUCAGGCCAGAAUGAAGACUUAUGCAGACAAAGCAAGAAGUGAAAGGACCUUUCUAGUAGGAGAUUGGGUGUACUUAAGGAUCAAGCUUUACAAGCAAACUACUAUCACCCAAACUAAGUUUGGAAAGCUUCUUCCAAAAUAUUUUGGUCCCUAUCAGAUUACAGAAAAGGUGGGAAAGGUAGCCUAUAGGCUCAGAUUGCCAGCUCCAGCUAAGGUUCACCCUGUAUUUCAUGUGUCCCUUUUGAAGAAAAAGGUCAGUUCUAAGUACACUACUUUUGCAGUUCUUCCUCAGUUGGAUGAGCAUAGUCAAUUUUUGGUGGAGCCUGUAGCCAUUCUGGACAGAAAGAUGAUUAAAAAAAACAAUGCAACCUCAGUUGAAGUAUUGGUACAGUGGUCCAGCACCUUGCCUGACGAAGCAACUUGGGAAGACUGGAAUGAGUUCCACAAGAAAUUUCCCCACUUCCAACCUUGAGGACAAGGUUGUUUUCAUGGAAGGUAGACUGUAAGGUGGCUAAGUUGGUUAGACGGGUCAAUAAUGUCUUUUGUUUUUAUUAAUUAAGGGUAAGGUAGUAUUUUCCAUUUCUCUUCAUUUCUUCAGUGUGUUACUCCAGUAGCAGUCUGUUAGCAGUCACAUGGCUGAGCUGGAGCAAAUCUAGGAACUUGUGAAUUGAAGUAUAUGUACUGAGCUCAUGGUGUGAAGUGGGUAUGAAUGAAAUAUGAAAUUGUUCCUUUCUAAACUCUCUGUUUUCGUCUGAUCCUUCCUCCAUUUCUACUCCCUCCUUCUGAUUCUAUCUAACUCUUUCCUUAUUCCUUGUGAAUUGUUGUUGUUGCUUGCUUAAGUAACAACUGAACUUAUCAGCUUGUUUCACAACCUUAUUCCAGCAAUAUCAUUAGAAAGCUAUUCAAAACAUGUCAUAAGAAAUAUGAGACAUCAUGUUGUUCAAGUAUUCCAAGAGAUCAUUCUUAGAAGAUUAAAAAAGAUUCCUUUUUCAUUACAAAGGUAAAAAAACAUUGAAAACUAAUUGAAGUAAUAAGCACGAGAAGAACAAAGCAAUCACCAUAAUCAUAGAUAAACAUUAUACAUAUAUCUAUAUAUAUAUAUAUAUAUUCUGGGAAAAAAGAAUAUGUGGCUUGCCACAACCAAGCUUGGGUAUAGAUCAUGCUUAAAAUGAUGUAGUAUUUGGUAAUAAAAUAGUGAAAUGCCUGUAAUGCCAUUAAUGAAAAUGAUGAAAAGAUAAAUAUGCCAUUAACGAAUGAUUGUCUAUAGACAAGCUUGGCUAUGGCAAGCCACAUAUUUGUUUUCUCCUAUAUAUAAUAUUUACUUUAAUACGCUUAACCAAUACUCUCAUGAAUGCAUGUCUUUUUGUCUUUAUACAACAUAGUAAUUAGAUUGUUAUAGUUCCUAACAUUCAAAUUCUUCAAGUAAAUUCUCACAAAUAUACGGCGUCCGACCACAAAAAUAAUAUUGUACGAAAAUAUUUCAGACAAAUUAAAAAAUUCAAUUAUUUCUAAUUGUUUGAUAUAGUUAGGAUUAAUGCUUUUAUUGGUGAAUAAAACUCACUUCAGACAUUCUUUUGGGGUCGAAGAGAAUAUAUUAUGGUGUCCUUGACUUGUCUCUGUCCUAAUUUAUUUCAGGAUGUAUUGUUCCGAGUUCCGACGUGUUUAUGUUGUGUCAUACCCGUCCUAUGUGUCUUAUCCACGCUUCAUAGAUCAACCAAGUAAAAGUAGUUUUAACACUAUCCUCAAAUAAUAUCACGCUUUAAGUGAAGAGAAAUUCAAUUAAAAAGUCAUGAAAAUGCAUCUAAUAUAGGAAGUUCAAAAAAUAAAAUAAAUGCAAUAGCCUUAUUGUAAAAUUACCAUAAGAACGAGAUCGUAAUUACUGCUCUGAAUUGCACACAGUGCUUCCACUCCAUUGUUGACAACAACUAUGUCAUGGCCUAACUGCCUCAUCAGCGACCGUGUUACCAUCACAUUAAUUUUGUUAUCUUCGACAAGAAGGAUCUUAGGUUUCGACAUUGAUUCAAGCAUUUCCGGACUGUUACUUGAAGUGCAUUCGGAGCUCCUCUCAGACCUCACCUGCAUCUGACAGAUUUCUUGUGGAUCUCUCGACUUCGUAAUCUCAAGCACAUCGUUGCUUCUUUGUGAGGAAUAAGAUGUGUUCAUACACGGGCUUUUGAGUUGAUGAUUUGCAUCAUGAUGACAUUUUUGUUCUUUACCAAUGGAACUUUUGUUAUCAGAAUCUGGACUAUACCUCAAAGAACUUUCAGGUUCUGAUACUGCCUCGGUAACAUCAACUUCUGAACAUGCAUCUUCUAUUGAACUCAUCUCCUUUAACGUGAUGUUACCAGAGGGGAAUGAAUAGGAAUCUUGGGAAUAUCCAUUUAGUCUGGGUAAGGUACUAAUCCCGAAACCGUUUGGUGUUAAUUUUUGGGUCCUGCCAGAACCAUUCGAGGAAAAUAGAGUACCCAAUGUUCGUGGCUGGAACUGGAAGAAGCCAGAAUUUGUAUCAUCGUCAUUUAUAUCAGUUGCUGCAUCAUGGUCGACCAUUACUGAGAGUUCAUCGGGAUCAUCUGAAGUGUCGUUCAAAGUUGAAACUUUAUAAGGUAGUAUAAAAGUAAAGGUUGAUCCGAGGUGCUCUCUGCUGGACACAGUGAGUUGACCUCCCAUAAGCUCAACCUGUUACAUAUGCAUAUCAAUGUCGGAAGGAUCAAAACUUUGAUUCUUGAAAUUAGUUGGAAAUAAAUACACGAAUUAAAUUGUAAGAAAGAAAAUAUACAAUAAAGCAUUCCAUUGUUAGUCUUCUAACAUUAAUGUAGAAGAAAGUUAAACAAGUUGAGUAGAAGGAAAAGUUUGUUGGAGGUUAUAAAUCUUUAUAACACAGUAAAUGAUACGAAUUCUCCUUAUUGAAGUUAAUGACUAAAACAAGCUUCAUAAAGUUACAAUAUCACAUUAUACCAUAGAUAACUUUACAUCAUGAGGAGAAAAAAUAACCUAGAUAACUUCUAAAACAUUCAUAAGGUCAUUUAUGUUAAAGUUUAUCACUAAAAACUUGUUAUUUACUUCUAACAAGUCAGCUGAUUAAUUUAUGAAAGAUCACUAAAAAUCCAGACAAGCAUGUGGAUACAAGGAUUGCAAGAAUGAUAAUUGAAGCCAAAAAUCUCGUCACAUUAUAUUGAACUUGUGGGCCCACUACAUUCUGGAAAUGAAGAGAAACUAAAAAAGGAAAAUAAAUGGCAGGCAAGAAAAAUUACCAGUUGUUUGCAAAUCGCUAAACCUAAUCCUGUCCCACCAUACUUUCGAGCAGUGUCUGCACUUACUUGCAUGUAUUUUUUGAAUAGAGUAGGCAAAGCAUUUUCUGUUACAUCAAAGUGGUGAUUGAGUUUAAAAUAGCAUGAGUAAUUAGUGAAGUAAACCAAUAAACAGAUACACAAUAAUUAGAAAAUUAAAAUGAAUUAAAUAAAUAAAUAAGUUUAUAUAAUCAUAUCAAAAUUACUAACCACAAAACUAAUUAAUGUAACAAGUAUGGGACGAAACAACUUAAUAAAUCAAAUUACGUGUGUAUCACAAAGAUAUACAUAUUAGUUACAAACCCGUAUAUACGUUUACACACCCUUAUUUUACACUGUCAUGCAUCAAAAUAUUUCUUACUAUAUUUAUAAAAUUAUUGAUUCUUAUUUUUGUUCAAGAAUUAAAAUUUUAUGUUAAUGUCAUUGAAUUUUAGAUUUAGUUGUUAUAAAUACUUCCACAUAAUCUGAUAUUAUAUAUAUAGGGAAAAGGGAAUAUGUGGCUUGCCAUAGCCAAACUUGGCUAUAGAACUCAUUCUUUAAUGGUGUUUUUUGUCUUUUCAUCAUUUUCAAUAAUGACUUUACGGACAUUCCACUAUUCUAUUACCAAAUACUACAUCGUUUUGUCUGACCUAUAACCAAGCUUGACGGUGACAAGACACAUAUUUCAUAAUUCCAUAUAUAUAAGAAACUUAUAUUUAUUUAUUUGACUUUCCAUAUCUUAAAUGAUUAGGAUUUUCGUGUAGUGUUUGUCACAUUUGUGUCUGUCCAUUCUUCACAGAUGGGUGGUAAUCAAUAAUCUUCACACUGAAUUUGCAAACAAAUGCAAAUAAGAAGUACCUGGUAUUCCAAUCCCUGUAUCAUAAACAUCAC